rnacentral:rRNA from 1 species
CCCGGGCCUUGUACACACCGCCCGUCACACCAUGGAAGCCGAUUCAACCAGAAGCCGGUACGGUCAACUUCGUGAGACCGCCGUCGAAGGUGGGGUUGGUGACUGGGGUG